GAGUUUGAUCCUGGCUCAGAUUGAACGCUGGCGGCAUGCCUUACACAUGCAAGUCGAACGGCAGCACGGGAGCUUGCUCCUGGUGGCGAGUGGCGAACGGGUGAGUAAUGCAUCGGGACGUAUCCUGGAGUGGGGGAUAACGUAGCGAAAGUUACGCUAAUACCGCAUAUUCUGUGAGCAGGAAAGCGGGGGACCUUCGGGCCUCGCGCUCUUGGAGCGGCCGAUGUCGGAUUAGCUAGUUGGUGAGGUAAAGGCUCACCAAGGCGACGAUCCGUAGCAGGUCUGAGAGGAUGAUCUGCCACACUGGAACUGAGACACGGUCCAGACUCCUACGGGAGGCAGCAGUGGGGAAUUUUGGACAAUGGGGGCAACCCUGAUCCAGCCAUGCCGCGUGAGUGAAGAAGGCCUCGG
rnacentral:rRNA from 1 species